rnacentral:rRNA from 1 species
CCUACGGGAGGCAGCAGUAGGGAAUCUUCCACAAUGGACGAAAGUCUGAUGGAGCAACGCCGCGUGAGUGAAGAAGGGUUUCGGCUCGUAAAGCUCUGUUGGUAGUGAAGAAAGAUAGAGGUAGUAACUGGCCUUUAUUUGACGGUAAUUACUUAGAAAGUCACGGCUAACUACGUGCCAGCAGCCGCGGUAAUACGUAGGUGGCAAGCGUUGUCCGGAUUGAUUGGGCGUAAAGCGAGUGCAGGCGGUUCAAUAAGUCUGAUGUGAAAGCCUUCGGCUCAACCGGAGAAUUGCAUCAGAAACUGUUGAACUGGAGUGCAGAAGAGGAGAGUGGAACUCCAUGUGGAGCGGUGGAAUGCGUAGAGAUAUGGAAGAACACCAGUGGCGAAGGCGGCUUUCUGGUCUGCAACUGACGCUGAGGCUCGAAAGCAUGGGUAGCGAACAGGAUUAGAUACCCCGGUAGUC